UUCAUCUCCGAGCUGGAGACCUCCCCGCACUCCACGCCGGUUCCAGUCCCAGGUGGAGGCUCUCCUCCACGGUGGCAUCCCCUCCAGCGUGGCUUUGCAUCUUCAGGGCUCCAUGUGCUACUGUGUCCUUCCGCCGUCAGCCAUCGCUUUCACCUUCUCUCUCACGCAACCUACAUUUCCUUUCGGUGAAUCGCUCACGCAACCUGCCUUCUUGAUGGAUUUGUUUGAACAGGUUAGGGGUUUCCCGAUAGAGUCUCAAAUUGAAGAUCUCCAAUGAAUCAAUUAGGUGUAUCCAAACCUAUUUUCCUUUUCAUGCUUUUUGUUUCCCUUGAUUGUGUACAUCUUUGUAAUCAAUUUUGGUAUCUGUUCCACGGUUAACCCAGAUUUUAUUCUCUAGGGUUUGUGAAAUUCCUAAUUGUGGAAAUUGUGAUAAUUUUUCGUAUCUGUUCGACGGUGAAGCCAGAUCCUAUUGCCUAGGAUUCCUGAAAUUCCUAAUUUACAAAUUGUGUCUAUGUGACUUGGUUUGUUUCUAGGUUCAUGUUCUUGGUUACAUUCUUUGGAAGUUGCUGUUAAUUUUGAGGAUGGUCUAUGAAUCGGUUUCCUCUUCUUCAUUUCGUUUUUUAGAUUUCGUUGGUAUGAUUAUCAUUUCUCCUUUUGCUAGCUGUUGAAUUGUUUGUUGCAUGUGGUUUGUGUAUUUCAUCAAUUGUUGGUAUUUUAUAAUGAUUAUAAAGAUUGUCUUCUUACUUACCUUUUCUUAUAUUUAUUGAUCAUGGGUUUGGUUUUCUGAAUCAUCUUCUAGGUAUGGGGUUUCUACCUAAUCUACUUUCUCCAUGGUGAUGUGAUUGACAGAGUUUUUUCAUCAAAGUCAGUUUAUAGACCCAGCUUCUCCUAUUCAAGUUUUGCAUUUCCAAUAUCAUUCUCUCCUAAUCAAGUUUUGCAUUUGAAUUUUCAUUCUCAUUCACUAAUCCCUUUGAAUUGUUUGGGCUGAAUGUAGCAAUUUAUAAUUUUUUCUGCAUUCAGAAUCAACUUCUCUUAUCUGACUUGGUUUGAUUCUGGGUUCAUGUUCUUGGUUACAUUCUUUGGAAUUUUCUGUCAGAUUCUUUGAAAAUUGAUGAAUCUAUUUUUAAUUUUUUACUUUGUGUAUAUUCAACAAAUCCAUUGAGUUUUUAUAAUGUUUUCUGGACUGUUUGUGUCACUGGGGAAUUCUCUUCUAUAUAAUCUACUAUAUAAUCUAUUUGAUGAGUGGUGAUGUGAUUGAUAGGACUUGAUUCAUAGCUUUUUGCUAAUUUAUUUGCAUCUGAUGAAACCUUUUGUUAGUCAACUCACUUGCAUUUCAAUUCAUUCCCAAUUCCAUUCCUUUCUGUUCAAGGUAUUAGGUUUCAAUCUCAUCCGUUUCAUGAAUGUUGAUGUGAUUGACAGAUUUUUAUUGAUGUUUGUCUAUACUUUUUUUCCCAUUCAGCUGCUAUUUCGAAUGUAUGCCUACCUAACACAUUUUAGCAACUCUCAUUACUAUGAGUAGAAUCAUUGUUUGGGAUAGUUGAUGACUUCCUUCCUUAUGGUAUAAUGACAUGUAGGUGCAGUGUAGUAGGUAUGGUGUGAUAUCUCAAUUUUUGGUCCCUAUUUGUUGAUUUCUUGAAAGUUUCCCAAUUUCAUUCUCUCCUAUUCAAGUUUUGCAUUUGAAUUUUCAUUCUCAUUCACUAAUGCCUUUGAAUUGUUUGGGCUGAAUGUACUAAUUCAUAAUUUUUUCUUCAUUCAGACUCAUGUUCUCUUAUCUGGCUUGGUUUGAUUCUGGGUUCAUGUUCUUGGUUACAUUCUUUGGAAGUUUCUGUCAGAUUGUUCAAAAAUUGAUGAAUCUAUUUUUAAUUUUUUACUUUGUGUAUAUUCAACAAAUCCAUUGAGUUUUUAUACUGUUUUCUGCACUGUUUGUGUCACUAGGGAAUUCUCUUCUAUAUAAUUUACUACUAUUAUAUAAUCUAUUUGAUGAGUGGUGAUGUGAUUGAUAGGACUUGAUUGAUAGCUUCUUGCUCAGUUAUUUGCAUAUGAUGAAACCUUUUGUUAGUCAACUCAGUUGCAUUUCAAUACUUUAUUGGUUAUGCAAAAGUUGUUGUAUAUUUCAGCUCUUGCAAAGAAGUAUAGGUGAUUGUCAUGAAUUUGUUUGCUUCUUUGAUACAGGAAUAUGCUUAUGCCGCUCCCAUUCAAGUUUUUCGUUCCCAAUUGCAUUUCUUCCUGUUCAAAGUAUUAGGUUUCAAUCUCAUCCGUUUCGUGAAUGUUGAUUUGAUUGACAGAUUUUUAUUGAUGUUUGUCUAUACUUUUUUCCUGAUUCAGCUGCUGUUUCCAAUGUAUCCCUACCUAACACAUUUACCAACUCUCAUUGCCAUGAGUAGAAUCAUUGUUUCGGGUAGUUGAUGACUGCCUUCCCUAUGGUAUAAUGACAUGUAGGUGCACUGUAGUAGGUUUUGGUCCUAUGAUUAGUUGUCUCUAUGCCAUUGAAUGGAGAUGCAUAUGGACUCAGAUUUUGUUUUCCCUCCAUUUCCAUCCUCAAUUUGAAUUCAAAAAGGUCAAGUAGGCCUUCAAAAUGUGAUGUAUGCCACUCAAAUAUUAUUUAAUCAUGAUCUUCCUGAAGUUGUUGAAUUCAGGCAGAG